CCAGACUCCUACGGGAGGCAGCAGUGGGGAAUAUUGCACAAUGGGGGAAACCCUGAUGCAGCGACGCCGCGUGAGCGAUGAAGUAUUUCGGUAUGUAAAGCUCUAUCAGCAGGGAAGAAAAUGACGGUACCUGACUAAGAAGCCCCGGCUAACUACGUGCCAGCAGCCGCGGUAAUACGUAGGGGGCAAGCGUUAUCCGGAUUUACUGGGUGUAAAGGGAGCGUAGACGGCUGUGCAAGCCAGAUGUGAAAGCCCGGGGCCCAACCCCGGGACUGCUCUUGGAACUGCAUGGCUGGAGUACAGGAGGGGCAGGCGGAAUUCCUAGUGUAGCGGUGAAAUGCGUAGAUAUUAGGAGGAACACCGGUGGCGAAGGCGGCCUGCUGGACUGUGACUGACGUUGAGGCCCGAAGGCGUGGGGAGCAAACAGGAUUAGAUACCCUUGUAGA
rnacentral:rRNA from 1 species